UUUCAAUCUUUUGAUUUUUCCUGUGGGUGUAGCCAGUGAAUCCUGCCUUUAGAUACAGAAUCAAACUCCAAUUUUCUGCAAAAAUUCAAUUUCAAAAACCCCUUCAAACACCAUAGCUACACCAAUCCAAAAGGUUCAUUUUCAAAGACAGAGAGGAUGCUUGCCCCUUUCAAGUAAACAUCACUGAAGAUGGAAUCAAAGUUUUUUUUUCCUCAUGAAGUCAGAUCAGUAAAAACAAAUUUCAAGUUCCACUUCAAUGGCAGAAAAUCAUUGCCAAUGGUAGAACAAUGGCAGGAGGAGGCUAGCAUAUCAGUCCCACGUCCUCAUACUUUCAGUUUGCUCCUGGAUUUUAUGAUCGUUCGAUGGCGGUCUGAAUAAUGUCCUGGAAGAAGAAGGCUCAAAAUGACUUCUUGACUUGCUGUCUUUCUGGAAGUUUUGCUAAAACAAGCUUUAGUUUCUCCACUUCCUUUUUAAGUACCUGGUGUCUACCUGUAGCAAGGAUUAUCUUUUCCAAAAUUAACAAAGUGCUUUAACAAUCCAAAAGAGUAAGAAGAUCAGCAUGGUAAGGAUUAAGGACCAUGGUAUUUGGGAAGUCUAGUCCCAUUUUCAUGCGAAUCUUUAUUCUCUCUCCAUAUGUCAGAUAUCAAAGUUGUUAUUCCUUCUCCUUGAAGUAAGUUGGUUUGGAAAGGUAGGUAAGGGAAGAAGGUAUAAGUACUUUCUUUGCCUUCAAUUCGUAGAAGCAUCAACACGACAGAAGGGUUGCUGAAAAAAGUACCUCACUUUUCCCUUUUCAUACUCAAUCUGGGGAUACAGAUGGUUGAAACCAUAAGAUGACCAUUGCUUCGUUGUCCUUUCAAGUUUCACUUGGUGAUAUUGGAAGGUUUUGGAGGCAACUUUGUUCCUUCUUCCUCUUUGGAUUGGGAUUUCACUUUUCAGUAGCUUGUGAGCGCCUUCUGAAAGUAAAGCUAUGUUGGUAGAGUGUGAUGUGUUCAAGGCAAUUUCAAGAAUGAAAAAUUUCUUUAAGGGGGUGGAUUAAUCUUUUAAGGGGAUGGAUAUCUUAAGAGCAAAUCAUCAGUCGUUAAGAAUCUAUGAAUGAAUUAUCAGCUUUAUCUCAAAUUUGACCAGUUGAAUUUUCUAUUUUUAUUUUUCAAUAAAGAAUCAACCAAUGUAAGAUCA